rnacentral:rRNA from 1 species
GACGAACGCUGGCGGCGUGCUUAACACAUGCAAGUCGAACGGAAAGGCCCUGCUUGCGUGGGGUGCUCGAGGGGCGAAGGGGUGUGUAACACGUGAGUAACCCGCCCUUGGCUGUGGGAUAACUGCAGGAAAGUGGGGCUAAUACCGGAGAGGAGCGCCUGCUGGAUGGUGGGGGUUGGACAGUUUCGGCGGGUGGGGGUGGACGUUGGGCUUAUCAGCUUGUUGGGGGGGGAGUUGCUUACCAAGUCUUUGACGGGUAGCCGGCCUGGGAGGGUGACCGGCGUCAUUGGGCCUACGAUACGGCCCAGACUCCUACGGGAGGCAGCGGGCGAGAAUAUUGCACAGUGGGCGCACGUCUGUUGCAGCGGCGCCGCGAGCGGGAUGACGGUCUUCGGGUUGUAAACCGCUUUAGCCUGUGACGAAGCGUGAGUGACGGUACUGAGUGAAGAAGCACCGGCUAACUACGUG